rnacentral:rRNA from 1 species
AGCAGUAGCCACGGGAAUACGAAGGGGGCUAGCGUUGUUCGGAUUUACUGGGCGUAAAGGGCGCGUAGGCGGACUGAUAAGUCAGGGGUGAAAUCCCAAGGCUCAACCUUGGAACUGCCUUUGAUACUGUUUGUCUUGAGUUCGAGAGAGGUAAGUGGAACUGCGAGUGUAGAGGUGAAAUUCGUAGAUAUUCGCAAGAACACCAGUGGCGAAGGCGGCUUACUGGCUCGAAACUGACGCUGAGGCGCGAAAGCGUGGGGAGCAAACAGGAUUAGAUACCCCAGUAGUCCCUGUCUCUUAUAC